rnacentral:misc_RNA from 1 species
ACUGAGGCUUGUUGGUGCUCUUGCAACAUCUAGAACACUCAGCAGGACCAUGCUGUUGCCAUCAUCAGUUGUGAAUCCGCUGCAUUUUUUUUUUUUUUUAAACUGAGUUCAAUUAAGAAAGAACAUCUCUCAAUAAAAUUAAAAUCAAUCCACAAAAAGCCCAUUUCACGGAAAAGUGCGACUAUGUAAGAGAAUAAUAAAGAAAAAUGGCGACUAUUCUAGAUAAUUGAGGUAAAAAUGAAAGAAGAAAAUGUCUAAAUAUUAUUAAAGGAGAAGAAGCAAAAUUCUCUUGCAAAACUCCAAAAAGCUAAAAGAGAC